UACAGAGGAGCCAAGCGUUGUCCGGAUUGACUGGGCGUAAAGCGCACGCAGGCGGUCUGGCGCGUGGGGUGUGAAAUCUGGCCGCUUAACGGCCAGGCGCCAUCCCAUACGGCCGGACUGGAGCCUUGCAGAGGUCGGUGGAAUUGCCGGUGUAGUGGUGAAAUGCGCAGAUAUCAGGAAGAACACCAAUGGCGAAGGCAGCUCUCUGGGACGGUACUGACGCUGAGACGCGAAAGCGUGGGGAGCGAACAGG
rnacentral:rRNA from 1 species